UUACGGCUAUAUCACGUUGAAUCAUCGGUUACCGUACGAUCAUCGAAGUUAAGCAACGUUGAGACUGGUCAGUAUCUAGAUGGGUGAUCGCUUGAGACUAUCAGGUGUUGUGA